rnacentral:lncRNA from 1 species
UUUGCUGUUUCUUGGGCCGCUCCGCGGCAUAUGGAGGUUCCCAGGCUAGGGGUCCAAUCGGAGCUGCAGCCACCGGCCUAGGCCAGAGCCACAGCAACGUGGGAUCUGAGCCACAUCUGCAACCUACACCACAGCUCACGGCAACGCCGGAUCAUUAACCCACUGAGCAAGGGCAGGGAUCGAACCCGCAACCUCAUGGUUCCUAGUCGGAUUCGUUAACCACUGCGCCACGGCGGGAACUCCUGAGAACAGUUUCUAAUGGAUUUUCACUAUCCUACAGCAUCAUUCUCCUGAAAGAGAUCUUUGCUGUCAGGAGUCUCUCUUUGUUCCAAAGUGACCAUCAAAUUAGCUUACUGAAUCUUUCAAAUCCUGUGAAAAAUUCUAAUACAUGAAUGAGUUCUAACACAUGACACAUCUUUUGAAGAAGUUUAGUUUCAUGUUAGGACUAAGGCCUCUUAAAAUUCAGCCCAAAGGAAGCUGAAACAAUGGCUCUCAUUGUAAUCCUCAGAAUGUUACUUCAUAAAGCCACUGGUUCAGAUAAGAGCCCAUAAACAAUUACAAUACAACAUCACAACUUUGACAAAGGAGACCUCUUACAGCCAAUAAGCUCUUGCCACAAAGAAUCAAAUCUAAGUCUGCAGACAUGCAAAGGGUGGACUUUGAUGUAGGCCAACUUUUAAAUUGCCAUUGAUGAAUUAGAUGUUCAACUCCAGAAGAUUUUAAUAAAGGGGCUCAACACUAUGUAUUAUCAUUCAACAAGCAUGGCCAAGUUCUAGCAGAACAUAGGGAGUAUCCAAAGAAAUACUAGAAAACAAAACUCAUUCUAGAAGAUGUUUUUCAAAAGUACUCCUUAACAGAUAACUGCCCCAUCAGAGAGUUGAAAAUAAUCUCAUGCUCUUUAGUAUCUGACUGUGUGAAAUGAUGUUAUCAUGCCACGGCAUUCUAUUCUCCAAUUUACCAGUUUAUGAAAAGACCCAUUCAAAGAAACAGUAGCAUUAUACUAUUCAUUUCUUGUGAGGAGAUUUGGCCAUUUAAUUCCCAUUUAAUACUUCAAACUUUCCCAAAUUAUGAACAAUGAUACUUAGAUCUAUUUGUUAAAUAAGCAAAUUUCUCUGCUUCUGACUUAGGUUUGAAAAUCUGGUUCUUGCCUCUUUUUUUCUUGUUUCUUAUUCCAGGACGAGUGAUCAAAUAAUUUUCUACUGUACAGCAAAGUGAUUCAGUUAUACACAUAACAUGUCCACUCCCAUGUCGGUGAUCACAGAAUACUGAGUAGAUUUCCCUGUGCUGCACAGCAGAUCCCUGCUGACCAUCCAUUCCAUAAACAGCAGUGUACCCAUGCCAGUCCAAAACCCCCAAUCCAUCCCUCCCCUCCACCUUUCCCCUUUGGUAACCAUGUUUGUUUUCAAAGUCUGUGAGUCUGUUUCUGUUUUGUAAGUAAGUUCAUGUGCAUCAUUUUUUUAGAUUCUGCAUGUAAGUGAUAUCAUAUUUGUCUGACUUUCUUCACUUAGUAUGAUAAUCUCUAGGUCCAUCCAUGUUGCUGCUAAUCCCAUUAUUUCAAUCUUUUAUAUGGCUAAUAAUUGGCCAUUCUGACUGGUAAGACCUCAUUGUAGUUUUAAUAUGCAUUCCUCUAAUAAUUAGCGAUGUUGAGCAUAUCGUUAUGUGCUUUUUGGUCAUCUGUAUGUAAUCUUUAAAGGCUAAUUUCCAUUUACAGUUACUACAACAUAUUGGCUAUAUUCUCCAUGUUGUACAUCCUUGAAUCUAUCUUACACCAAUAGUUCGUACGUCCCAAUCCCCAUCUCUAUAUUCUCUCUUCCCGUCUCCCCACUGGUAACCACUAGUUUGUGCACUAUAUCUGUGAUUCUGCUUCUUUUUUGUCAUAUUCACUACUCUGUGGUAUUUUUAAGUAUUUUUAAGAUAAACCUUAAACUAAUGUUAUGUCAUUUAAUAUUUAUUAAUCUCUAAUUUAGAACCUUAAUACUUUCAGAAAUGAUGGAAGACACCUCAUAAUCGAAAACAUAUAUUAAAACAUAACAAAAUACAAAAAUAAAAGUAAUAUAAUAAGAGAAUGAAGUUAAAUAUUAAGCACAAAAUCAGGGGGAAAAAAAUGUCCCAAGAACUAUUCCAAUUGAAUACUCUUACCAUAGGCAAGGUAAAAAAUAGUAUAUAAAGCAAUUUCAUAUUGAUGAUUCUUUCACCUCAGAAAUUUACACAACUGAACACUUUUCUAAGCAACUAUAGGUAUGAAGCAAUUGCCAGGGCACUUUAGUUCAGAUGAAAUCCCAGACCAGAAAUAUCCAGGAGCAUAUUCUGUUGCUGGAAGAAGCGAUACGGGACAGAAAAUUACGGCUCUGGAUUGAGCUUUGGUCAAAAGGAAAUGGUAUUAUCCAUAACAUCAUGACAGGGCCUCACCCCAAGUCUACAUUAACAAUACUUAAAAGGAAAAAAGAGGGAGAAUCAAAGCCAGAAAGAAAACAGCUACUGGCUUCAAACAUAUUUUAUG